AACCUUGAGGUGUGUUACAUGUCAGACUGCAAAUCUGAAGUAGGCUUCUGCCCGGGGUUU
rnacentral:tRNA from 1 species